ACUGCACAGACAUGAGAGUUGUAGCGAUCUUCUCAUCUAACUCUUGCCAAAAAGCAAAUACGUGCAUCUCCCGCAAAUUACUUUAUUUUGUAAAAAAGGGGAAAUUGGUCAUUUUUUAACAAUUCCCAAGAUCAAAUUCACUGGGGAGAAAACACAAUGGAUGCCUAUUGUACCCACGUCAUUACCUCUAAACAGCUCUUCACUGGAUUCUUUUAGAGCAUGGCAUGAGGCGCACUGAGGAGCCUUUCACCGGCUUCAUCUGAUACCGCUGUGACUCGGAGCAGGAGCUGCACUACAGGCCAGGAUCGACAUGCAUGGACAGCAGUGACAGACAUUGUGGUCAGGAGGGCUGUUAGCCGCAGGCAGUACCUCGGUUUGGAUUCCUCUCUAAAACAACAUCGGAGAGUGCACGGUUAAGUGCACAUAAGUGGAGGUGACGUCAGCAUUUGGAUGGUCUGGCUCGGAGCCCUCGGUGCCAUAACGGCAAUGAGGGGAGCUGCUAUACGCGCCCUGUCCAUCACAGAUCCAGACCGGACGGUGCUCAGCGUGGGCUGUUGUCACAGUUUACUAGAGAGCAGAGACUGCAAGUCAUCUUGAGAACACAGCGGCUGCAAUUGAUUUUGAAGUCAAAACAUCCUUAAAAUUCUCCAAAGGAUGUGAGAUUGUGAAAUAAAGACAUGUGCUCCUAUAAAUCAGCUUCUCCUACAUGAACACAAACAUUUCUGCCAAAGUCAGAACAGAUUUGGUUGUUUCAUCUGAGAGAUUUCCGUUUUUAAUCUGUGUUCUUCUCACUGGUUUGAAGUGGGCGGGGCUUUGUUGAAAAAAAGGUGACGUCACAACUCAGGAUUUAGCAAUAUUUGAAUAUUGAAUAUAUUCAAACCAAGCAAGAGAAGAAGAUUUUUUCAUUAAUAAAGAUAAUGAAUCAAUGCACUCAACACCAGAAUGUAUAGAUGGGUGAUCAAUUCUUAAAAGCAAAAGUCAAAACAUCAGGACACGGACUGCACUCCACUUAAAAGGUGCUAAAUACCAGAUUGGUUCCACACAGCUCUCAACAUGGUGACGGUUGAGCCAGCGGCUCGUAGCUAACAGCACUAACAGUGCAAACAAUGACAACAGAGCUAACAGUGCUUACAUGAACCAGAGGGUGGCUAGUACGCUUCCGCAACACGCCGUCGGUCAGCACAACAUUAUCAGCUGUAACGGGCUUCAUUCUCUGCUCAGGUAGACAUUACUCUUCUAUAUCUUAACAUAGCAAAUAGCUGUUUGCUGCUAUAUUAAUGCUCUGGAUAUCAUAUAGAGCACCUUUAAAUUGUUAAUUAAUGCGUUGCACUGCAUAUUCCUGAUUGGGUUUUUUUUCUGAACUUCAUCUUUUCUGAGCUUUUCUUUACUAUAGUUAUGAGUAAUGUUAGAUAAAAAUCGAAGAUCUGAAACCAAUUUUUCAGGGCUUUAAGUCAAUACCGUGGUCAGAUAUUUUUUUUUUUUUUUUUUUAUUAAUAAAUGUGUUAUUCCUGAAAACACAUUUAGUGAGGUCCACCAUUCAGACACGUUGCAGUUACCACCUCUAAGCGCUGCGGUUGGCAGCCAGGACUGACUUAUUAUAAGUAAAAAUAAAACAAAAGGAAAC